CCAUCUUCAUCUUCUUCAUCAUCAUCUACGUUUCUUCAAUCUACUGUUGCUUUGAGACUGUGAACUCUGCUAGAGAAGUUUUGCGCUACAUUUACGCAUGGUAUCUUGUGCAAUGAGCUGAAGUUCAUCCAGCAAAUCCACUUAAACGGAGUAUGUUUUUGUACCGAUUUCUUUAGUUGAUGGGGUUGGUUAGAUUUUUCGCCACUUCCAAAGAUAUCAAGAGUUUUAGCUGCUAAAAUCUGUUGGUUUGGAAGGUCUAUUUUCAGAAAUGCCUUCUCUUCAGCUUCUGCAGUUGACUGAACAUGGGCGAGGCCUCUUGGCUUCUAAAAGGAAAGCUCUGCUGCUUACGACAGGUAUAAUCGUUGCUGGUGGAACAGCUGCCGCGUACAUGCAGUCACGGAAAACCUAUAAGGGGCAUGAUUCUUUGCAGUGUGAUGGAGUGAAUGAUGGUAUAAUAGAGCCAAAUAAGCAGACUGGAAAGGGUAAUAAUGUGAAGAAAAGCAGGCAAAAGAAAGGAGGUUUGAAGUCUGUAAAAGUUUUAGCAGCUAUUCUUCUAUCUCGAAUGGGCAGAAUGGGUACGAGAGAUCUGUUGGCUCUGGUAGCCACAGUGGUGUUACGAACUGCUGUAAGCAACCGAUUGGCAAAAGUGCAGGGGUUCCUUUUUCGUUCUGCCUUCCUCCGGCGUGUGCCAAUGUUUUUCCGCCUCAUACUUGAAAAUAUUUUGUUGUGUUUCCUCCAGUCAGCCUUGCACUCGACCUCUAAAUAUAUAACUGGGACCUUGAGUUUACGCUUCCGGAGUAUUUUAACAAGGCUUAUUCAUGCACAGUAUUUUCAGGAUAUGGUGUACUAUAAACUGUCCCAUGUUGACGGCCGGAUAGCAAAUCCAGAACAGAGAAUUGCAAGUGAUGUUCCCAGGUUCUCUAGAGAGCUAAGUGAUCUUGUACAAGAG
rnacentral:misc_RNA from 1 species